GAAACCAGCAUUCAUAUUCGAUUUUCAACAUUACGAUUUGGUUCUCAAAUAUAUUCGAUCAGUGAUGUCUACUUUAUACGCACAAUUAUGGCUUGGUAUGAAAUACGAUCACCAGACAAAAAGAGCUUUACUGUCAAGUGGAACUACUGCUCCAUACACUAAUUAUUACCCGGGACAUCCUUCAUCUGAAGUAUCUUACACUGGAAUGGCGAUCGCCGUAAGAAAUCCAUCAAGUAGUAACCAAGGAAUGUUCAACCACCCACGUUCGUAUACUAGACACGGAGUCUUGUGCCAGAAGGAACGAUUUCCGUCAAAUUAGGAUUCUUUCUAAACUUGUUUAUCGAUUGAUAUAUAAAACGUUUAUGCGUGAAAACAUUAAUCCCGAGACAAUAAUUGUCUUCAAUCUGACUUCGUUUCAACAAUUCAUCUAAACUUUGACGGUUUUUCGUCAAAUUCAUUUACGUACAAGGAAAUCAGCUGUUCGCUUAUAAAUUGUUUGUACACAAGUAAUGCUCCGAUGUUUUCCACUUUGUUGCAACUAGGUCAGUCAGGAUUGAAUAUUUUUGAUAAUGGAAUAGAUAUUUUUACGACUUAGUUUUUGUUACGGAAUAAUUGAAACUCAGUCUUGGGUAAACUUCUAAAAUCUCAAGUACAAAGAGCUGAAAGAUAAAGAAUAUUUCACAAGCUCUUGUCAGAUAUCAGUUGACGCAAAAAUGUCAAUUUUUCAGGUCGCUCUAUCUUGUGAUCAAAAUUAAUAUUGUAAUUAGCUUUUUUUUUCAUUUGUUUUUGUAGGAAACUACAUAAUUUCACCAUAAAUUCAUUUGCAAUUACCGGUUUCGUUUGUGUCACAACGUCAGGCUAAAUAGCAAUAUCUUUGCAGACAUUUAGAAACAAUUUUCAUAUCGCGUUCUUGUGAGUUAAUAUACCGCAUUAUUAGUCUUCUUAUCCAGAGCUUUGUUCAAAACGAAGGCAUAUCAUAAUGAAGUCGAAUCAAAACCUGAAUAUUUGAUGUUGAAGUUGAGUUUUUUGUCAAAUCUACUCCGUAAUUUAUGAAUGACUCUGCUCUGAUCUCUGGAUGAAAGUUAUUCCCACUUUAUCUGAAUUCCACGAACUGAUGACGUCACGUUUGUAUUGAUGUUGAUGUUUUUACUUGUAAGCCUUUGAUAGUUGUAAUACGUAUUAGAAAUGUUAAUGCUUAAUAUAUUUUGUAUAAACAAAAUAACUAAUUGUGUAUUUAGAAUAACUUUUUAGGAAGCGUACCUAUUUUAUGUUCAUUAUCUUUUUAAUCCAAAUGGUAAAAAAGCCGGCGCUCCGUAAGUAUGCGUACCAAUAUGACGCACAACCUGAACCUAACCUGGUACACAUACUAUGUUCAGGUUGUGCGCCAUCUUGGUACAAUACUUCGGGAGCAUCAGAAAGCCAUAUAUUCUCUAUAAUCAAAAUUUCUAGCAUUAUAAAAGUGAUACCUAUAUUCUCGCAUAUAAACGGCAAAUUUAUAAAAAAAAAUUAGCAUCUAAGUCGACCAUACAAAUCAAA